UUUUUUUUUUUUUUUUUGAGGGUCGGAAGACUGGCCCAAAUUUAGAUUGACACAUUCUUAAUGGUGUGCAGAGAUAUAUAGGUAGCUCAAGAAUUGACAUGGCAAGUGAAUGCAAGUCACUUUCUCUUAUCUGCAACAAAGCCAGAAAUAAAUAAUCCUUAAAAAAUAAAAAGAAACAAAAAAAAGUGGCUAUGAAUACUAAAUAUUGUAGCAGUAACAAGUUUAAUUUGAUUCAGAGUUUCAGAUGAUUGACACAUAUUUUACUUUCUUUCCUUUCUUGUGAUUCUUCUGAUGGCACACAAUAAACCUCUACCUUCCACUUAUAGAUUUUUCAAGAGGAAAGGAGACUCUAAUCACUAAAUUAUUAGUGCUAAUAAACCAGUACAGUAAAAUAAAGGUCGUGAUAAACAUUACGCUUUUCCCAUAAUCAAUCGAAAGAGGGUAUACACAAAACAUCCUGGUUUGGAUUAGGUGAGAUAACACAUCCAAAAAUCAGGAAUUUGAGAUGUUAACGGUCCACAUAAUUAUUAGUGAUUCCCCAAAUUGUAACUAAUCAAUGUUUUGUUUAUGUUGGAUAGUUGAUUUCCGAGAACGAUAAAUAAAUUUAUUCUUAUUCUAGGAUUGAUCCAACCAUCAAUGUACAUGACAAUUGAGUUUUGCGAUAAAAUCAUUAAUCCAGAGUUCAAAAAAUUAACCAAACAUUGGAUUGCACUUUACUUGCGACCUUAUUCCAUUUCUUUCUUUUAUAAAAAGGUCCGACUUUAUUAGUUAACUUGUAUCAUAAACAUAAUUUUCAAUCACAUUUUUACCUCACAUACAUCACACCAUAAAAAGUGUUAUAGUGUUGUUCCAAAUAAUCUCUUAUCCAAACACAUUAUUGUUUGUCCUGGGAUGAGGAAUGGGUGAGAUAAUUAAUAUUAUGAUUUUUUUAAAGUUAUUUUGACUUAAAUUUUGGUAACCGUAAGAUUAAAAUUAAACUUACGAAACAUAAAAUUGAAUUUUUUUUUUUGUAUGUAAUUUUCAACUGGUUAAACUUACGGAACAUAAAAUUGAAUUUUUUUUUUGUAUGUAAUUUUCAACCUCAGGCAUAAUACUCAAAAGAGACUAUAGCAUUUUUACAUGAAUGAUCCAAUAUGAGCCAAGCCUAACAUAAUUUUUUUAUGGGUGGAGUCAAGCCCACACUUGUUCAUAUUAAAUCCGCAUCCUAUACAUUUCUUAGACACUCAUGCCCUUUAGCUUUCAUAUAUUAAAUUAAAAUUUUUUUAAUCUUUAAAUUAUCUUUCUAUAUAAUGAAGACAGGACUAGUAUCAUCUUUUGUAAAAAGGAAAAAAAUUUCAUACCAUAAGCUUUACUGUAGUCCUGUAUAGAAAUCCCUUUUGCUGUUUAUUUCAUUCCAAAAUGUAUGUUUUCUCUGAAGUUGUUUUAAUUUUUUUCUCUUUCCUUUUAUAACUUACUACCUUUAUUUUGUUCAAUUGUCUUUAAUAGUAAUUUACACAUAAUUAGACGCUAGAUAUUAGCAUUAAGAACUCAAUAUUAUUUCAUAUUCUACUUUGAAAAAUAUGUAGAAUUCAAUUUUAUGGAAUUAAAAAUAUGUAGAUAUUGCUAUUUGCAUGCCAAAUUCUAAUUGAAAAAUAUGGAUUGCUAAAUUGAAUUUUAAUUAAUGGUUAAUAUCCUAAGCAAUUUUAAAAUGUUCGAAAAUAUACUCUUUUGCUUCAUUUGUUUUUCCUCUUCUUAUGAUCUGUUAAUAUAUGUUACAUAAUACUAGUAAUUAAUAAUAAUAAUUAAAGAAAAUAAAAAAUAAAAAUUCUUUUACUUUUUUUUUUUUGGUUUUAUCGACAUGGUAACUUAUUCUAUUAUGGGUUCAAAUGGGUCAAGGGAGAAUUUGGAGGGGAUUGAACCACUAUCGAACGAAAUGAGUACAAUUAGGGAUGUAAUCGAGUCGAGUCGAGCUCGAGUAUGUCGAGUAUCACCAUAUACAAGAAAGGUGCUCGAGCUCGAGCGAGUAGUAUUAUUGGAGUUCGAGCUCGAGUUCGAAGCUUGUUUGCAGAACUCAAGCUCGACUCGCAUGGGCUCGAGUCAAUUCGAGCCUUAUUGAGCUUGAUCGAGUUCGAGUUACAAAAUCUCAUUUUCUUGAUAAUUUUUGAGCGAAAAGACAUUAUUGACCUUUUAAAAUUUUUGUACGACUUGAAACAUUUCGUAAAUUCAACAACUCUUUUGAAUAUAAGAGUAAUUUUAUAAUAAUAAUAUAUUAAAAAAUUAAAAUUAAAAAGCUCGAUAAGGCUCGACGAGCUUUCGAGCAUUGCUUCUGAAUACUCGAACUCUACUCGCUUGCUUUAUCGAGGCGUUCGAACUCGACUCGAACUCGGAUUGAGUUUUUGACCGCUCGCGAGUAGUUCGGUUCGACUACACUCCUAUAUACAAUGCGCACUGAUUGAUAAAUUUUUUUGAAAAUUCUAAAAAUGAAUACCUGCACCCAAAGAGAGCCUCAAAGCUCUUUCUAGUGAACAACUACUCUCACUACUCUAAAAGUAAAGGUCGUUGGUAAAGGUAGUUGGUUCUUUUACACUCUAGUACUUUGUAAGCUUGAUCUGUUGCACAGCGAGAAAUGGACCACGUUCCCAAGUCAGCGAGUGAGAACUGAAAACUGAGAAGUAGCUACGCAGGCUUGAAGUUUUAACAAAUUGAGUCAACAAAGAGCAGUAAUUGUUUUAUUGCCCUUGCUGCUUUUAUUCCUUGUCAUUGUCCCAAAAAAAAAAAACAAGAAGAUACUGAUCACUUGAAUCCGAAUCCGCGAAUCCCAGAACGUACUUGAAGUCCUGAACACAACAAUACCAUCUGCAUAUUCUUCUCUCCAUCCUUGCAUCAGUUAUUAGUAAGUUAAUCUAUCCCGCAUUGAAUCUGAAAUUUUUUGGGUUUUUGACAUCCAACCAUCAAUUUACCCCGGUUGAAGUACUCAAUCUGCCGUGUCUGUUUCAUUAUUACCUUUCUUGCAUUUCAGUUUCUUGGUCGUAGGAUAUAUCGUUGCUGGCCAAAAGAGAAAAAGGAAGAAUCUUUUCCUGCUUUCAUUUUGGAUGUGAUAUUGGGUUUUUGAUGUUAACUUUAUUGUUUCUGCCUUACUAUUAUUAUGAGAACGGCGACUUGCUUGCCUUAUUUUCCCAUUUUGGCAUUUUUCUCAGCUGCCUGGAAAAAGAGUCUUGUUUAUUUUCUCUACUGGUCUUGCUGUUUCUUCAAUUGAAGUAAAAUUGUGACAUUAGGGACUUCUGAUUGCAGCUCUGCUUUGUUGAAUAUCAAUAAUUCCAAGAUCAAUCCAUUGAGUAUAGUGAAGAAAUGGCAGUGUAAGUCUAAAGUUUCUUCGACAUUUCAUGUUCGUCUAAUUCUCAGCGUUAUGGUGAAAAUUGUAUCCUUUUGCAUUCAAUGAAAUAGAAUUAACUGAUUUUAACAUGAAUGAUAUUUGAGCAGGAUUGCUUCUGCUCCUGGAAAGGUUUUGAUGACUGGAGGUUAUCUAAUUUUGGAGAGGCCUAAUGCAGGGAUUGUCCUGAGCACAAAUGCACGAUUUUAUGCCAUAGUGAAGCCCCUUUAUGAGGAAAUUAAACCUGAGAGUUGGGCUUGGGUGAGGCUUUUUUUUUUUUUUAAUUAUCGUGAACUUUUUCUUUCAGUAACAAGUAUUUUCCACUUCAUUCUUUAUUAUGCAAUCAUAAGUUUGAAUACUAUCUGUAUGAAGUUUACUCCCUGAGAAGAAUGCUUGGUUCAGUAGGGGAUAAAUAAACCCAUAUUAUUUAAGAAAGUUAGAAACCCUGUGAAGUAAUUAAUUUGAUGCCAUUUGAUAACCAAAUGAUAAAAGGACUAUGUCUUAUAUUAGGAUGGGCUUUAACGAGGUUACUUGAAUUGAUCUUUUAUUUGAAGCAAGCAUGUUAUACCUAAGUUUCCUCAUUCUUAAUCAACCUCCUCUAGUAUGUAACUGUAUGAAGAGUCUGUUUUUCUCUACCUAUGUAUCUUUAACCAUGAUCAAUUUAUUUGCAGAAUUUGAAUAGAGUUUGUUCUUGUUAACUUUUAGGCAUGGACAGAUGUGAAAUUAACUUCUCCACAGAUGUCGAGAGAAACUAUAUACAAAUUGUCCCUCAAACAUUUAACUCUUCAGCCUGUGUCUUCAAGGUAAGUCUAUCUGUUUUCACGCCUUACUUUUGUUGAACCAUAUCUGCUGAUGUCUUUCCGUUUAACUUCAAUCAUUUUUUUGUUUGCAAUUUUACAAUUAGAAAUAUGUAUGCUUUUGUGGAAUUCUGGAUUGGAUUCGUGUUUUAAAAACCACAUGCAAAGGAUUCAUGUAUUAAAUGGAAAUCACUGGAGUAAUGCCUUAUGCUGUUGGCUUAACAGCAGUGACUCAAGAAACCCCUUUGUAGAACAUGCAGUCCAAUAUGCAGUGGCAGCAGCUCAUGCAAAAUUUGGCAAAGACAGGACAGAUGCAUUACAAAAGAUACUUUUGCAAGGUAAUGUCUGACAUUUCACUCUUCAUAUUUGUUCGUUAAGCUAAAUGAAUAUAAAUGAAUCUAAAUUGCUGAUGGAUUAGUCAUGCAGGUCUUGAUAUUACGAUUCUAGGAUGCAAUGAGUUUUAUUCAUAUAGGAAUCAGGUAUUUCACAUUUCCUGUCAUGUAUCUUCAAGCCGUGACAGCUUAGUGGUGUUUAGUGAUCAUUUCCUUCAUUUCCCUCUUAACACAAUGGCUGUCUCUAAAUUACUGGUUGACUUGAAUCAUAUUUAUGCCCCAAAAAGCAAUUUGCUAGUUGUUCAAGUGCCAGGUUUCAUAAUAAUAAAAGCUUACUCAGUUUGACUCUUGCAAUUGAUGUUCUCUUAGCUUCCUUCGGCACAAUCAUCUAUUACUUGUAUGAUUGUGAGGUUCCUGUUCAUGUUUAGCAAAGAUUUGUAGUUCAAUAUCUUCUUGAGAUAGUCAUGCUUUCUAGUUAACUAACCAAUAUAAGAAUGGAUUUUGUUAUUUGGAUCUUAUCGUUUCGUAUAUGUCACUGUAUACUUUCAUAAUUGAAUGAAACUUUUCUAAGAUCAACUUAUAUAUGUGAGAUUCUGAAGUGGAACUUUCCCUUGCAGAUUGAGAAACAACUACAAAAAACUAAAUUAGAUCAGUCUUUUCUAUUAGGAAAUUUUAGAUAUUUGAAGCCUGCUGACUCUAUCUAAUUUAAGAAAAAUGAUGUACUUACUAGAUUUACCAGACCCACUGAUUUUAGGAACUCGUGUUAGCAAAAUUUAUUUUCUUUAGAACAUUGAUGCAUACUUGUGAAUUUGAAUCAACCUCUGUUCCCACAUAGGACUUGAUAAAGUUUUUUGGAUUCCUUAUGCCAUAUGGCAAUAUCUAGAUUGGUAGAAGCAUCACUUUCUGGUAGGUUAUCCAAUAAGGUUUCAUCCAUACUGAAAUCUGGAAUUUGCGGAAUGAAAGAUUGAAUUACUUUAUCUUUCAUCAUUACGACUCAAUAUUUUCUUGUUCCUUUUGCUAGACUAUUUAGGUUAAUAAUAUCAUAUUCUAUGCUUACAGUUUAAUAGAAUAUUUGUUCCAUUCUUGUUUUGGGUUUCUUGUGGAAACAUGUAGACAGUUAAAGUGUAAAUUGGAUACAUUUUUUUGUAGAUCGAGUUGCAAGGUUUACCUUUGACACCAGAAUCCUUGGCUUUGCUUCCACCUUUUAGUUCUAUCACCUUCAAUGCAGAAGAAUCAAGUGGACAAAAGCCUGAAGUUGCAAAAACUGGAUUGGGAUCAUCUGCAGCUAUGACAACUGCAGUUGUUGCCAGUUUGCUCCAUUACCUUGGAGUUGUUGACCUUUCUUCUGGAAAGAAAGUUGAUGCAGAUCUUGAUAUUGUGCACAUGAUAGCUCAAACAGCUCACUGCAUUGCACAGGGAAAAGUGGGUAGUGGAUUUGAUGUAAGUUCUGCAGUUUAUGGCAGCCAACGCUAUGUUCGGUUCUCACCAGAAGUGCUUUCUUCUGCUCAGGUGCCAUAUCACCCAACUCCUCAUGAUUAUCUGAUGAUUAUGUUUGAGUGAAAGAUGAAGGCAGCUUAGGUCAUUUUGCUCUUAACACCACUUGAGGCAUAUGAUUAAACGUGCACAUGCACUCAUGUGCGUGUGUGUGUGUACAUGCAGCUUAGGUAUUAGUUGUCCAUAAAUGAGUUCUUUUCAUUUUAUUAGUAUCACUUGCUAAACUUUAAUGUUUCUAGAUUUGAGAGUGACAGUUUUUUAUUGUCAAAAAGAACUCAAAAGGCCAAGUUAAUUUAUCUCUAUGUGCGAUCCAUGUCGUCUGAAAAGCUUUUGUAAGUGUUUGGUUCAUCUGCUAGUUUUUUUUUUUGUUCCCAGUAGUGUCCACCUGGACAGAAAUUGGGGAACAUUUGAUUAGGUAAGAAACUAGUAUUUACUCAAAGGAGUCAAACAGUGCUAUAGUACCUUUGAAUAUGCCUCAUUAAGUCAUUAUAGGUAGAUGGUACCACUGGGAUGCUUUGUUAGGCAAAGAGGAAAAUAAAUUGUGCCAUGCCUCAAGGAUGGAGAGACAAUGACCAAUCCUGAGCCCGAUGGUUGCAUCUGAUGUUUUCUUUCCCAGAAUCAUAAUGCCAUACUAGCUAAUGAUCAUCCAUGGCUUCUCUAGUGUAACUUUUUCUUAAAGGGCGAGGCUUACUUGGGUUAAUUUGUACUGUUUUCUGCUUAGCUUUCAACAAUAGUUACUUGAGGAGUAAAGUUUGGUUCUUAUGGUCUUUAAUAUGUGGUAAGGUGCUCUCUUAGAAAAUAUAUGGGGAAUUCCUCUUAAAAUUGUGAAGUAGAGCUUCUCUUUUAUAUAAUUGGCAUCAACAUUUGGUAAAGCGCACCCCAUUUUUCAUGUUUAUCUUAUAACAUGACAGUUCAUGAUGGUGCAGUCAUAAAGAAACUUCUUAUAGUCAUCAAAAUGACCUACUUCCAGUUGUCGGAUCAUUUGAGCAUUUUACUAUUGCAUCUAUGACAUAUGAUGGCUGUGAACUCCUGAAAUCUGCUUAAUGAUCUGUACAUCUAAAAACGGGUUCUUCUCAACUUAGCACAGAAGUUUAUUAGUUUCAGCAUAGAUCAUUUUAUGUAGAGCUAGUUUGAUAGCAUGCUUUAAAAAGUAGCUUCCUUCUAAGUUGCUGUCAGCCAUCUUGUAUGUUCUUCUUAACUUGAAAUAAUUUAAAUGCUUUUUGAAACUUUAUAGUGCAGGACAGCUGGGUUUUCCAGACUAAAAUAAAAUAACUUCAUUGGUGUUAUUUGAGUCAUAAAUCAGUGUCAUUGUGGACUUGCAGGGUGCAGUUAUAGGAAUACCUCUGGAAGAAGUCAUAUCUGAUGUCCUUCAAGCCAAGUGGGACCAUGAAAGGAAAAAGUUUUCUUUGCCUCCAUCAAUGACUCUUGUAAGUUGUACAGAAAUAUAGCAUUUGAUGGAAUUUAGUGCCCCUGGCCCUUGUGUAUAUGAUAUGGCCUCCAUGGAUACCGAUGGCAUUUGUGCCCCUUUGCUGGAUUUGUUUCUCAAGCAGAAACCAGUCGUUGAUUUUAUUAUUUUUUUCAGUCCUUGAUUACUUUCAAUAGAAUUAAAAGCUAAACAUUGAUUGGAAACCUACUGGUAGUAAUGAUAUUAGCUGGUGCAAUUGGAUCUUUCCUGACUUUAUGCCAUGAUCGUUGCCAAAACAACAUACACCAACUUUCUUUAUAUUUCAAAUAGCUGUUUGAUUGUACAUUACUGCAUCUGUGUGAGCUCAAGCAUGUGUUCAGUAUUGCAUUACGUGAGCUCAAGCGUGCCUCCUCCAAUUCUAGAUGAUGAGAAUAUGCUUCAAAUUGAAAUAAAUAACACCAUGUUAAUUUGCAUCACUUGUCAAAAGCUUUAUACUGGUUUUGAGGGUUCCCAUCAUUUCUAACUAACAGAGUAUGUUCACUUAGUUUCCUAAUGUUGUGAUGCACUUGCAGUUACUGGGAGAACCAGGAACUGGAGGAUCAUCAACACCAUCAAUGGUAGGUGCUGUAAAGAAGUGGCAGAAGUCUGACCCUCAAAAUUCUCUAGAAACAUGGAGGAAGUUGUCAGAAGCAAACUCGGCACUUGAAUUGCAUCUGAAUGCCUUGAGUGGAUUGGCUGAAAAACAUAGUGAUGCGUACCAAAAUGUCAUCAACAGGUGCAGUGGGCUUACCUCAGAAAAGGUAAAUCUUCAAUCAACUGCAGCAAAAUUUCCUGGCAAUUGGUCUCUUAACAAAUGAAUCCCUUCGGUCUUCCUAAAUUACAUUAUCCUGACUUGUAUGACUUGCAUGUCAAAGGCAGAUACCUUAUUCAUGUGCUGCUCACAUCUUGGCUGAACAUGCAUUUUUUCCUCCAAUCUUCAUAAAGUGCUAGUCUCCUAGUUCAACAAUGUAUUAGUUAAGCAACAGAGAUUUUAAUGCAGAUAAUGAGGAUCUUUGUUUAUGACAGUAAUCCAAGAUCUAAAUACAAAAGAAAUUUUGAUAUAAAUCAUCCCUGUAAUUGUCUAGCUAUGAAUUGAUUUUACGGGCUAGCAGAGUUCUUUUGAAUUGUCUGCAUCUGCACCUCAGGGAUAACCACUUCUCUUCUUGUUGAUUAAUGUAUUUUGUUGUGGAUGUCAACUUUAAUACUUUGGUGAGCAUUUCUCAUUAUGUUGAAACCUCUCUCUCUAAAAUGAGCUUGCAAACUUCUUAUCAACAGUGGGUAGGAGGAGAAGAUGAACCAAGCCAAGCGGUUAUAGAAGCAUUAUUAGGAGCUAGAAAUGCCAUGCUUGGUAUCAGAAACCACAUGCGGAAGAUGGGUGAGGCAGCUGGAAUCCCAGUAAGUCUCUUCUUUCUGGUUUGAAACAGCACUCGUCUAUGUUUUGUUGUCUGUUUGUCUUGCAUGCAUGUACGUGUUUUUAUUCUUCUUUCUGGUUAGAAACAUUAUUCCUCUUUCUAUCUAUCCCAGCACAUUCUUCAUUCCAGUUGGAGACUUACAAAUCCAUGAAUUAUGAAAAGAAAUGUUUAAAACCUUUCUCAAUAGCAGUUUAAUCUACUUAAACAUAUUUGUCGGAUAUGAUGGUCUCAAAUGAUAAGCCGAUUGGAAUCUCUUUUGCCUCUCGAAGAAAUCUUUAAUUAGAGAAUAUACGACACCAAAAACUUUACACUUGAUUCAAAGUGCAUGAGAUCAGAAGUGAUACUUCACAUUAGCCACGGAUGUUAUUUCAUGCCCACAGUUAACAACUGCAUAGGAAAUGCAGAAAGAAUUUGCAUGUUAGAAAGAAAAUCUGAAAUUGAUUUGUCCACAUACAGUUGGCACAAUGGAUUUGGAAAAGGCAACAGCUCUCUCUCUCUCUCUGUAAUUGUUUUGCAUUUGAGCAUUUCUUGAUCUGCCCGACUUCCUUUAUCUCUAUAGGUGCAUCUGUCCAAGUGUGAGCUUUGAUUUCUUUCAGUUAUCAUGUCCUAGGUCUAACAUGGUAGCAGGUACUGUUCACACUGCAUGUCUGUAGUCGAUCAGACCAUCACUUCUGCCAUGUUCCACUUUGCAGAUAGAACCUGAAUCACAAAGUGAGCUUCUAGAUGCCACGAUGAAUAUGGAGGGAGUUUUGCUGGCUGGUGUCCCUGGCGCAGGCGGGUUCGAUGCUGUGUUUGCUGUUACUUUAGGAGCUUCAAGUGACAAUGUCAUCAGAGCUUGGAGCUCUAGCAAUGUUCUUGCCUUGCUAGUGAGAGAAGAUCCUAAUGGUGUUUCUAUAGAGAACAAUGAUCCACGAGCAAAGGAAAUCACAACUGCUGUUUCUUCAAUUAGGAUUGAAUAAACCUAGAUCACCAGAAGUAAUGUGAAAGUGAACAAUCGCCCCCAAUAUUUUAGCAGCAUAUAGAAUUUGCAAGCAGGUAACUUUCUAGUGAGUUCUUUUCCAAAGCUGUAUUAGCUUUGAGACAAUAAACACCUAAUUAUAUACCUGUGGGGUUUCAUAUGUUGUAACAAAUAGGUUUAACUCUCAUCGUGAUUACUAAUGCUCUUAUUAGGCUGAUGAGUUUAUCCAAAUUUGGGCGUCUUUGGAGGCAUAGAUGCCUUCUGCCACCCAUGUGAAAGAAACAGAUUAAAUAACAUUAUUGUCAAUUGUUCUGUCUCUGACGGCGAUCACUGCUGCAAGUUACCUGAUAUAUAUACUCAACAUUGAUGAUGUCUCAAGUACUAUAUAGCAGGUUGCCUCUCCUCCCUCCGCAUGUUUUUUUUAUUUUUGCUUUUUCUCUGUCUUGUUGAUUGUCACGAACUUCUUGUAUAAAUGGCUAAUGUUAUUGGGAUGGUAGCACAGGAAAUACAGGGAAACGUUAUUUGCGCUCUCAUUUUUAUUAAUCACACUUCCACUAUCAUUUUACUCGUAUAGUUUCAAUUAUUAGACUAUUGCUAAGUUUUUCUCAAAUUUUUUAACUAUUUUAACUACAGUAAUUUGAAAAAACUCUUCAAAAUUUUGAAAAUAUACAUCUCAAAAUAUCGAUAAACAUACUAAAAAAUUUCCCUUCUUUCCUUUUUUCUUCUACCUUCCCCCCCCCCCACCACCCCUGCCUCCCAACUUAGAUGUUGGCAAGUCCUCUUUUUUUCUUUUCUUUUUUCCUUUCUCUCGUUCUCCUCCCUCCCUUCGCCUCCUCCCCCUCUCCCUUCCCCAAGUCCCCUCCGUUUCCGCUGCCCCCCAAUAGUCGUGCUGACCAACCAUGCAACCAACCAUCUCCCGACCCUGGGCCCCCCAUCCCAUCUGGUUGCAACUAGAGGAGGGGCGAGGGAAGGGAUGGAGGAGGAGAGAGGAAAAAAAAGAUGGGUGAGGUGGUGGUGGCUGGCGAUGGUGGGAUUCUGAUGGCUGAUAGUGGGAAGGGAAGGAGGAAGAACAAGAAAGGGAAAAGAAAAAGAAAAAGAGAACGAAGAAGAAAAAGAAAGAGAAAAGAAAAUUUUUCUCCAAACCCUCAAUAUUAUGAAAGUUUUUUUACAACUUUAAUGGUAAGUUAUAGUAAAAUUUUAUAUAAACAUCUAAAAAAUUCACUUGUCAAACAGGGCCUAUAUGAUAAAACAAAUUAUGGAGUAAAAGUAACAAAAUAUAGAGUGCAAAAACGUUUUCCUCCUAAAUAUAUUGUCACACCUUUCUAAGCACUUAUUUCCUCAUGUUCCCUGAGCAGCAGUUUUGCAUGAGGAUGCACGGUUUUUUUUUUUUUUUGGGGUAAGAGAUGCAUGCUUUCUUUAACGUUAAAGAUGGAAGAACUUAGUUAAAAUUGAUGUGGAAGAAAAGAAAAAUUUGAACAUCCUGUAUUCACCAGUAAUCUCCACAGGAGCAAGUUCCAUUUUUGAAAUGAUGGAAGCGAUUCCUAUCUCUUACAGUAAUUUCUCUUUCAUAAAUUGUUGAAAUGAAUUUAGUAUAUGUGUGACAGUCACUGCACAUUCUGACACUUCUAACAAUUCUGAUGGGAGAAUGCUGCGAUGUAUGAAUCAGUGCAAAGGCAAUUGCCAAUUUUUGGCUGUGAGUACUCAAUCUCUGUCUCUUCUCUUCUUCAUCUACAUCCAGCGAUACUUGUGAUGUAUCUGGGGAAUACCCUUCAAAU
rnacentral:lncRNA from 1 species